ACAAUAUCCAGGGAAACCAAAACCAGCCUUCUUUUAACAUCAGGAUGGUGGGGUUUGGCUCGGCAUUUCCAUUACGUUCCAGAAAUUUUAGCUUCAUUUUUUUUGGACUGUUCCAGCUCUGUUCAACCAUUUUCUGCCCUACUUCUAUGUCGUGUAUCUUACCAUCCUCUUAUUCGACCGAGCCAAAAGGGACAAUGACUGGUGCUGGUCCAA